AAAAAAAAUGGGCGGAACGCCCAUCUUCUCUUACUGGUGGUCGCACCUGAGCCGCACAUUGAAUCCGUACGCCCAGCGACUCCGCGAUUAUAGCGUUUU
rnacentral:sRNA from 2 species